CCCAGCAGUGCCGGCCCACCGGCGCUGUGAUCGAUUUCUCGCCGGACCUUAGCUGCUUUCCCGCGGGGCAGGGCUCGGGACCUGCAGCCCGCCAUGCCUGAGCCUCCUACCCACUCCAUGGGCUCCUGUGCUGCCCCAGCCUCCCUGACGAGCACCACCCCCUGCUCCACGGCGCCCAGUCCCAUCGACCACCCAAGGGCUGAGGAGUGCAAGCGCACGGCACGGGACUGGCAGGCAGCUCCACCUGCAGCCCCGGUGCGGGAUCCACUAGGUGAAGCCAGCUGGGCUCCUGAGUCUGGUGGGGACGUGGAGAGUCUUUAUGUCUAGCUCAGGGAUUGUAAACACACCAAUCAGCACCCUGUGUUUAGCUCAAGGUUCGUGAGUGCACCAAUUGACACUCUGUAUCUAGCUGCUCUGGUGGGGCCUCAGAGAACCUUUAUGUCUAGCUCAGGGAUUGUAAAUCCACCAAUCGGCACUCUGUAUCUAGCUCAAGGCUUGUAAACACGCCAAUCAGCACCCUAUGUUUAGCUCAAGGUUUGUGAGUGCACCAAUCAACACUCUGUAUCUAGCUGCUCUGGUGGGGCCUUGGAGAAACUUUAUGUCUAGCUCAGGGAUUGUAAAUGCACCAGUCGGUACCCUGUCAAAACAGGCCACUCGGCUCUACCAAUCAGCAGGAUGUGGGUGGGGCCAGAUAAGAGAAUAAAAGCAAGCUGCCCAAGCCAGCAUUGGCAACCUGCUCAUGUCCCCUUCCACACUGUGGAAGCUUUGUUCUUUCGCUCUUUGCAAUAAAUCUUGCUACUGCUCGCUCUUUGGGUCCACGCUGCUUUUAUGAACUGUAACACUCACCACGAAGAUCUGCAGCUUCACUCCUGAGCCCAGCGAGACCACGAGCCCACCGGGAGGAAUGAACAACUCCAGAUGCGCUCCCUUAAGAGCUGUAACACUCACCGCGAAGGUCUGCAGCUUCACUCCUGAGCCAGCAAGACCACGAACCCACCAGAAGGAAGAAACUCCGAACACAUUUGAACACCAGAAGGGACAGACUCCAGACGCGCCACCUUAAGAGCUGUAACACUCACCGCGAGGGUCCGCGGCUUCAUUCUUGAAGUUAGUGAGACCAAGAACCCACCAAUUCCGGACACAAUUUCACUAAGCUACAUGUGUGUCCAACUGGGUCGCUUCACUUCACAAUUCAUUCAUCCGCAAAAGAGCGAUCUUGGACACAAAGAUCGACUGGAAUGAAACCGAUGGUUGGUAGCCUCAGACUUCUCGGUCCUUGCUGUGCUGCAUCCUCUCCAUGGAAGGUAGUACACCACUCAUUCACUCAUUCAUUCAAGAGAGAUGGCCUGAAACCAUCAAUCAACAAGCUCUGCCCUAGAGACUUAAAAAAAAAAUGAGUAAGUUUUCUGGCUCUUUCCUCUCCUUGCUCUACCAACACCUGCUCCCAGAUCCUUGUGCCUUAACAAGCCAAAGAUGACAGAUAAUGGCUUAAAAAGAAACUCCUCUUACGACAACUUGGUUUGAUUGGAAAUGACACCCGUUUAUAGCCAUACCACCUUGAACGUGCCUGAUCUCAUCUGGAAAUGACACUUGAUAGCGAAUUUCCAGGAAAAAGACACCAGAUAGGAGGCGUCCUGAAGGCCCUGUGGCCUUUUAAUAGAUUUUCUUCACUGCUCAAGAAGUCCUCCCUAUCAAAUCGUCUCCCUGAUGCCAUCUGGAGUGGCUGACAGCUCCCGCACCCCACCAUCCCCUGUGAUGGGGAAAUAAACCGCAAAACCUUUUACAAGUGUGAAUCAUCGUGCACCUGCCCAUUCAAUCUUCUUUCAUGUAAUUUGGAAAAUAACUCUUUUCAUGUAGAGCUCUUAAAAACACCUGGAAAUAUUGGAAGCAUAAUAAGGCCAAGCCCCUACCCCCCACACCACCCUUAGGUACUACAGUCCUAAUCAUAACCAGAAGAAUAAACACAAUUGGAUAUCUGUCAUGUGCUGGGUCCAUGCUAAGUGCUUUCAGUACAUCAAGUCAUUUGAUUCUCCACAAGCAAUGAAGAUAGAUAUGGCUAUUAUUCCUGUUUUUGUGAUGCAGAAACAGAGGCUGAGAGAUGAGAGACAAGGUCUCACCAUGUUGCACGAGCUGGUCUCUAACUCAUGGGCUCAAGCGAACUUCCCACCUGGACCUCCACAAGUGUUGAGAUCGCAGGAGUGAGCCACUGGGCUGGCUGGCUGAUUCUUAAUAACUGAAAGAGCGAGUCAGGUUGCGAAAGCUGCACCAGGUUGGAGAAGGAGCUUCCGGGCCACCCUGCUUCAUCUGUAUGGAGUGCUGUGACAGAAGAGCCUCCUGUAAGCCACACCCAUGCUGGCAACACUCAAGCAUUCACAUAACGAAGAAGCCAGGAGCAGUUUCUGUGGCCAGCAGCAGGGGAGUGGAAGGAGGCAUUGCAGGAAGAAGCAAGAAGGGCCCCGCAGAGGGCUGCUGUGGCUGCACCUGUCAGGCAGAUGUGAUAUACUCCAGAAACUUUGAAACCAGAAGCAUGGAGCUUAAGCUUUAAGGACUGCAUGGAGCCAGGUGCAGUGGCUCACACCUGCAAUCCCAGCACUUUAGGAGGCUGAGGUGGGAGGAUUGCUUGAGCCCAGGAGUUCGAGACCAGCUUGGGCAACAUAGAC
rnacentral:lncRNA from 1 species